GGUCGAAAUUUACGAGACGAAUCUUUUGAGCCUAGUUAGGCCAUGAUUGGAUAAUAAUUACCACAAACAAACGAAAGUGCUACAGUGUCGCGAAAUCUUUUCGUCCACGAACUAAACACGGCCUUGGAUAAUGGAAUAGAUGGUGAGAUGUGUUGCCAAAUUAUUUGCUAGAGUGACGAGCAACUUGCAGACAGCUGGUACAUGCAAGCAGCUUCGAUGCUAUACAUAUGAAACAUAUUCACAUCCAAGUGAUGGCAUUAACUUUAAUUUCUUAGUGACGACUCACUUAUGAUAGAUAUAAAGUUACCAAAACACAAUGCAUAUGGUACGUACCAGUACAAAUUAAUGUGUUCUGCUUAAUUCUUCCUCUUAUUCUAUGUAUAAUGUUUGAGCAGUUAAUCUUGGUGUGGUUUACAUUCUUGUGUUCACAAGCGUUGAUAUACUAGUAUAUGCAGCUGAUGACUGGUGUCAGGUAAAUGCACAAAUAAAGGAGGUAGCAGUAUAUACUGCUAUUUUAAUAUACGCAGGUAACUUAUUGGCUGGAACAGCCAGCUGGUUUCCUAUUUUUACAGGCCAGAAGUGAAAUGUGACAGGCAGUGGUGUCCUUUUUUUAAGAAGAGACAGGGGCCAGAAACCAAUAGCUAAAGGUGAAGUGAAGCAGUUGAGCAAGACAGUCGCGUUCUUCAUGCGAUGAAAUUAUCCUUUUUUAUGUGUUGAACAAGUACUAGUAUUAUCUUGUGAGGUGACUUGGGGCAAGAGAUAAUUAGGUGUACCAAAAACCCUAAAGUGCUAAGCAUAGCAUAAUGGCUCGGGUUGUCCUUCCUUUUUUUUUUUUUGGGUCCUUGCUGUGCACUAGUACUCCUCGGUGGAAUAGAAGUUUCAGGCCCCAUUCAAUUGAUUGUCUUCAUUCAUUCCAAUUUAUGACUACAGCUUUUAUAUACAUUUCCUUGGAACGCAGAAAAACUCCAAAUAGAUUUUGGAUGAGAUGAGGAACUAGACUAUAUACAUUUUCCUUGGAACUACACAGCUUAUAUAUACAUUUUCCUUGGGGCCCAAUAUAUAUGCUACUGGUAUUACUUUCUCAUUCUCACUGUGCCUUAGAGUGGUGGAUUCGGGACAUUGCUUAUAAUUUGACACAUGAUCUUCUCAAAGAAUACUUCGAUCUUUGGACAGCCAUCGACUCCAUCCGACCUGAUCUUGAUGAAUCAAGCGAGGAUACCAUUGUUUGGACACUAGAAAGCUCUGGCCAAUAUUCGAGCAAAUCAGCAUAUGCAAUUCAGUUUGCCGGCCAAGUCCAGUCAUCCUUUCCAGCCUUAAUUUGGAAUGCGUGGGCACCGCCAAAGUGCAAAUUCUUUUUAUGGCUGCUAUUGCAAAAUAGACUAUGGACUUCGGCGCGCCUACAAUUGCGUCACUGGAAGAACAAUUAUUUUUGCGCCUUGUGUGAACGGAACCUUGAGACAGCACAUCACUUAUUUUUCGAAUGCCCCUACUCCCGCCUGGUCUGGCAACUGGUGGCUACCUGGAGUGGCUGCCCGAGCUUGCAGCCAACAUCAUGGAAAGAAGUACUUGAGCUCGAAGACUGUUUUAACCAAACAAUAAGAGCAGGAUGGAAGAAGGAGCAUACUCUAGCAAUAUUGACUGUGUGGAACAUCUGGAACCGGCGAAAUGCUGUGGAUCUUCAGGGAAGAACGAAAGGCGCCACAUUCCCUGCUGGUGGAUAUCAAGGACAUGGCUCAUCAAUGGUCCUUGGCGGGAUGCAAAGCUUUAAGGAAUUCUUUAGUUAAAAAUGUAAGUAGCGAGUAAUCAACUAGGAAGAAAAGCCCCACGUAGCCUAGGCUGCGAUGGGGAGCGCUCCUCGCGCUUGUAAACGAAUGUUUUCCACAAUCUCUUCUUAUUAUUAAUCAAAGCCGAUAAUGUCCGGAUCUUUCAAAAAAAAA